rnacentral:rRNA from 1 species
AGUAACGCGUGAGGAACCUGCCUCAAAGAGGGGGACAACAGUUGGAAACGACUGCUAAUACCGCAUAAGCCCACGGCUCGGCAUCGAGCAGAGGGAAAAGGAGUGAUCCGCUUUGAGAUGGCCUCGCGUCCGAUUAGCUAGUUGGUGAGGUAACGGCCCACCAAGGCAACGAUCGGUAGCCGGACUGAGAGGUUGAGCGGCCACAUUGGGACUGAGACACGGCCCAG